AUCUCCCUGAAUAACGUGCUCUCUGUGUCCCCAAAUCCUCAGAACGUGGCUUCUCUUGUUGUUCCCUUAACCAAGCCUCUUCUUCCUUGCAAAACAACACUUCCAAAAUCAACAAUGGUCUUCAACCUUGCUCCAGAUGCUCACAAUCGAAAUAGGGUUUCUCUCAGAAGGCUAGGGUGAACAAUGACGGCCAUAAGGUCCCUCAUAUACGUCCCAAACCUGAACGGUUAGGGUUUUCGCUAAACAGCGCAGACUCGCCGAGUCCAUAUCCGGACUCGUCGAGUCCAGUCGCGAACCCGCGACCAGAUCCGCGAUCCUACUCGGCGAGUCUAGGCUCCAACUCGCCGAGUCCCCUCUUAAAACACCCAAAAUNUCCGUGAUCCUACUCGGCGAGUCUAGGCUCCAACUCGCCGAGUCCCCUCUUAAAACACCCAAAAACAUAAAUAUAACAAUACCUGAAAUUCCGGGUUGUUACAAUUUGCGUCCUUUAUAUAGAAAAAUUUAUAUUAUAGAAACGGUAAUACUACAUAGUGAUUACAGUUAUGGAUUUCCUUACAAUACAGUGUAUUAAUUAUGAAUAAUUAGGAUUAUACAUUGUAAUGGUAUGUUACAAUGUUACAAUAUGGCCACUAUACACAAUAUAGUGGUUGACAUCGUUUCAAGCUAUUAUCUUCACAUGUUAAUAAGACAAUUACAAUUUGCAUAUUAUUUGAAUAUGAGACCUUUCUUGAAAGACUCUCUCUCUCUCUCUCUCUCUCUCUCUCUCUCACGUAAUGCACCAAGUAUAAGGCUCUUCUUUC
rnacentral:lncRNA from 1 species